AUUGAACGCUGGCGGAAUGCUUUACACAUGCAAGUCGAACGGCAGCACGGACUUCGGUCUGGUGGCGAGUGGCGAACGGGUGAGUAAUGUAUCGGAACGUGCCCAGUCGUGGGGGAUAACGUAGUGAAAAUUACGCUAAUACCGCAUACGAUCUAUGGAUGAAAGCGGGGGAUGGCAAGACCUCGCGCGAUUGGAGCGGCCGAUAUCAGAUUAGCUAGUUGGUGGGGUAAAGGCCCACCAAGCCAACGAUCUGUAGCUGGUCUGAGAGGACGACCAGCCACACUGGAACUGAGACACGGUCCAGACUCCUACGGGAGGCAGCAGUGGGGAAUUUUGGACAAUGGGCGAAAGCCUGAUCCAGCCAUUCCGCGUGCAGGAUGAAGGCCCUCGGGUUGUAAACUGCUUUUGUACAGAACGAAAAGGUUUCUACUAAUACUAGGAGCUCAUGACGGUACUGUAAGAAUAAGCACCGGCUAACUACGUGCCAGCAGCCGCCGUAA
rnacentral:rRNA from 1 species